GACCGAGGGGGCAAGCGUUGCUCGGAAUUACUGGGCGUAAAGGGCGCGUAGGCGGAAUGGCAAGUCGGUCGUGAAAUCCUUCGGCUCAACCGAAGAACGUCGAUCGAAACUGCCGUUCUUGAGGAUUGCAGAGGAGACUGGAAUUCCCGGUGUAGCGGUGAAAUGUGUAGAGAUCGGGAGGAACACCGGUGGCGAAGGCGGGUCUCUGGGCAAUUCCUGACGCUGAGGCGCGAAAGCGUGGGGAGCAAACAGG
rnacentral:rRNA from 1 species